rnacentral:rRNA from 1 species
GACGAACGCUGGCGGCGUGCUUAACACAUGCAAGUCGAACGGAAAGGCCCUGCUUUUGUGGGGUGCUCGAGUGGCGAACGGGUGAGUAACACGUGAGUAACCUGCCCUUGACUUUGGGAUAACUUCAGGAAACUGGGGCUAAUACCGGAUAGGAGCUCCUGCUGCAUGGUGGGGGUUGGAAAGUUUCGGCGGUUGGGGAUGGACUCGCGGCUUAUCAGCUUGUUGGUGGGGUAGUGGCUUACCAAGGCUUUGACGGGUAGCCGGCCUGAGAGGGGUACCGGGCACAUUGGGACUGAGAUACGGACCAGACGCCUACGGGAGGCAGCAGUGGGGAAUAUUGCACAAUGGGCGGAAGCCUGAUGCAGCAACGCCGCGUGCGGGAUGACGGCCUUCGGGUGGUAAACCGCUUUCGCCUGUGACGAAGCGUGAGUGACGGUAAUGGGUAAAGAAGCACCGGCUAACUACGUG